rnacentral:rRNA from 1 species
AUUGAACGCUGGCGGCAUGCCUUACACAUGCAAGUCGAACGGCAGCACGGGUGCUUGCCCCUGGUGGCGAGUGGCGAACGGGUGAGUAAUACAUCGGAACAUGUCCUGUCGUGGGGGAUAGCUCGGCGAAAGCCGGAUUAAUACCGCAUACGAUCCGCGGAUGAAAGCGGGGGACCUUCGGGCCUCGCGCUAUCGGGUUGGCCGAUGGCUGAUUAGCUAGUUGGUGGGGUAAAGGCCUACCAAGGCGACGAUCAGUAGCUGGUCUGAGAGGACGACCAGCCACCCUGGGACUGAGACACGGCCCAGACUCCUGCGGGAGGCAGCAGUGGGGAAUUUUGGACAAUGGGCGAAAGCCUGAUCCAGCAAUGCCGCGUGUGUGAAGAAGAACUUCGGGUUGUAAAGCACUUUUGUCCGGAAAGAAAUCCUUGACUCUAAUACAGUCGGGGGAUGACGGUACCGGAAGAAUAAGCACCGGCUAACUACGUG